rnacentral:tRNA from 1 species
AAGAAAUUAGUUAAAUAUGUAAUAACAUUUAUUUGUCAUGUAAAAAUUAUCUUCAAGAUAUUUCUUA